AUACGAAAGGUGCAAGCGUUGUUCGGAUUUACUGGGCGUAAAGAGAGUGUAGGUGGUUUAUUAAGUCGGAUGUGAAAUCCCGGGGCUCAACCUCGGAACUGCAUUCGAUACUGAUAGGCUAGAGUUUGUGAGUGGUAAGCGGAAUUCCGUGUGUAGCAGUGAAAUGCGUAGAUAUACGGAGGAACACCUGAGGCGAAGUCGGCUUACUGGACCAAUACUGACACUGAGACUCGAAAGCGUGGGUAGCAAACAGAAUUAGAAACCCCAGUAGUCC
rnacentral:rRNA from 1 species